CCCUUAGAUGUUCUGGGCUGCACGCGCGCUACACUGACGCACGCAACAGGUUCCUGCUCCGAGAGGACUGGGUAAUCAUUUGAGUGUGCGUCGUGAUGGGGAUAGAAUAUUGUAAUUAUUACUCUUCAACGAGGAAUUCCUAGUAAGCGCCAGUCAGCAGCUUGCGCUGAUUACGUCCCUGCCCUUUGUACACACCGCCCGUCGCUCCUACCGAUGGGUGAUCCGGUGAAUGAUUCGGACUUCAGCGGCUCCCCUGGGGUGCGCCGGAGAAAGUUUUGUGAACCUUAUCACUUGGAGGAAGGAGAAGUCGUAACA
rnacentral:rRNA from 1 species